rnacentral:rRNA from 1 species
GCUAACGGGGAGGGUCAUUGGAAACUGGGGAACUUGAGUGCAGAAGAGGAGAGUGGAAUUCCACGUGUAGCGGUAAAAUGCGUAGAGAUGUGGAGGAACACCAGUGGCGAAGGCGACUCUCUGGUCUGUAACUGACGCUGAGGCGCGAAAGCGUGGGGAGCGAACAGGAUUAGAUACCCUGGUAGUCCACGCCGUAAACGAUGAGUGCUAAGUGUUAGAGGGUUUCCGCCCUUUAGUGCCGCAGCAAACGCAUUAAGCACUCCGCCUGGGGAGUACGGUCGCAAGACUGAAACUCAAAGGAAUUGACGGGGGCCCGCACAAGCGGUGGAGCAUGUGGUUUAAUUCGAAGCAACGCGAAGUUUCUUAUCAGGUCUUGACAUCCUCUGACAACCCUAGAGAUAGGGCUUCCCCUUCGGGGGCAGAGUGACAGGUGGUGCAUGGUUGUCGUCAGCUCGUGUCGUGAGAUGUUGGGUUAAGUCCCGCAACGAGCGCAACCCUUGAUCUUAGUUGCCAGCAUUCAGUUGGGCACUCUAAGGUGACUGCCGGUGACAAACCGGAGGAAGGUGGGGAUGACGUCAAAUCAUCAUGCCCCUUAUGACCUGGGCUACACACGUGCUACAAUGGGCAGGACAAAG